rnacentral:tRNA from 1 species
UGCUGUGUUUUAAGGGGUCUCAAAAUAAGCGGAAAGCAUUCAUAAUGCUGAGGUCGGUGGUUCAAGUCCACCCGUAGCUACCA